rnacentral:rRNA from 1 species
UGGGGAAUAUUGCACAAUGGAGGGAACUCUGAUGCAGCGACGCCGCGUGAGUGAUGAAGGAAUUCGUUUCGUAAAACUCUGUUCUAUGGGAAGAAAAGGACUGUACCAUAGGAGAAAGCUCCGGCUAAAUACGUGCCAGCAGCCGCGGUAAUACGUAUGGAGCGAGCGUUGUCCGGAAUUAUUGGGCGUAAAGGGUGCGCAGGCGGCUUUACAAGUUGGAUGUGAAAUAUUGUGGCUCAACCACAAACGUGCAUCCAAAACUGCAAAUCUUGAGUUAAGGAGAGGUAAGUGGAAUUCCGGGUGUAGCGGUGAAAUGCGUAGAUAUCAGGAGGAAUACCGGUGGCGAAGGCGACUUACUGGACUUAAACUGACGCUCAGGCACAAAAGCGUGGGGAGCAAACAGG